AUCAUASGGCAGCUAUACAUGCAGUCGAGCGAAUCAAUAGGAGCUUGCUCCUUGARAUUAGCGGCGGACGGGUGAGUAACACGUGGGCAACCUGCCCUGCAGAUGGGGAUAACUCCGGGAAACCGGGGCUAAUACCGAAUAAUCAGUUCCUUCGCAUGAAGGAACUCUGAAAGACGGUUUCGGCUGUCACUGCAGGAUGGGCCCGCGGCGCAUUAGCUAGUUGGUGGGGUAAUGGCCUACCAAGGCAACGAUGCGUAGCCGACCUGAGAGGGUGAUCGGCCACACUGGGACUGAGACACGGCCCAGACUCCUACGGGAGGCAGCAGUAGGGAAUCUUCCACAAUGGACGAAAGUCUGAUGGAGCAAUGCCGCGUGAGUGAAGAAGGUUUUCGGAUCGUAAAGCUCUGUUGCGAGGGAAGAACACGUACGGGAGUAACUGCCCGUACCUUGACGGUACCUCGUCAGAAAGCCACGGCUAACUACGUGCCAGCAGCCGCGGUAAUACGUAGGUGGCAAGCGUUGUCCGGAAUUAUUGGGCGUAAAGCGCGCGCAGGCGGUCCUUUAAGUCUGAUGUGAAAGCCCACGGCUCAACCGUGGAGGGUCAUUGGAAACUGGGGGACUUGAGUACAGAAGAGGAAAGCGGAAUUCCACGUGUAGCGGUGAAAUGCGUAGAGAUGUGGAGGAACACCAGUGGSGAAGGCGGCUUU
rnacentral:rRNA from 1 species